UUUUUUAAAGAAAAAGAAUUUUAAAAUAAUAAAAGAAAAAAAAUUAAAAUCAGAAACAACCAGGAGCGUUGGACCACGCUUCACUAAUUGACGUGGUAGAUUCAACACUCCAAAUGAUGAGAAACAUGAUGGAACACGCUGCAAUCAGAACAAAUGAUCCAAUUUGAAUUUAACCAAUCAAAACAUUUCAAAAUGCCAAUGUGUCUGGUCGGAACUCAGACCACCUGAGAAAUAUUUCGAUCAUCUUCUCCGAUGAGCUCUCAUUGGAGUUU
rnacentral:lncRNA from 1 species